GACGAACGCUGGCGGCGUGCCUAAUACAUGCAAGUCGAACGCAGUGGGGACGGGUGAGUAACACGUGGGUAACCUCCCAUCAGAGGGGAUAACACUUGGAAACAGGUGCUAAACCGAUAUUGAUGGAUUGACCCGCGGUGCAUUAGCUAGUUGGUGAGGUAACGGCUCACCAAGGCCACGAUGCAUAGCGGGCCUGAGAGGGUGAGCAGCCACACUGGGACUGAGACACGGCCCAGACUCCUACGGGAGGCAGCAGUGGGGAAUAUUCGACAAUGGGCGCAAGUCUGACCGAGCAACGCCGCGUGAAUGAAGAAGGUUUUAGGAUCGUAAAACUCUGUUGGUAGAGAAGCGGUAUCUAACCAGGAAGCAACGGCUAACUACGUGCCAGCAGCCGCGGUAAUAC
rnacentral:rRNA from 1 species